ensembl:lncRNA
GCGCGUGAAAAAAUGUUGCAUUUUAAUGGAGGACACGGUCGACUUCCGAGCGGGGUGGAAGUCGAGAUUUAAUGACAAUUUUUGCCUUGUUACAGCAGAUGGCUGCACAGAAAGACAAACGACUCGCCGCGUUUGUUGAUUGACGUGCGACGUACCCACACAGGUAGGAGCUUAAAUUUGAAAUCGCUUUGCUGACGACUGGGUUGUCCAAUCAUCGGGAAGCGGGGGCGGGAUAUAACCCCGUCAAUCAUGCAGAAACUAUAAUGGUUUGAAUAAGGAGGGAGGGGGAGAAUCCAAUCCGGUUUGAGCUAGUUCUUCUGCCAAUGGAACAUUACCGUCGCGCUACGCUGUAUUAGACUGUACUGGUACAGCUUUAUCCAGAAUAUACCACUGUAUCUUUCUCCUGUAUUGAGCAACAUUUAGCUCUUUUUUCUUAAAAAAAAAAAAAACUCACCCCACACAAACCAGCCAUGCCUAAAAGGAGCAAAGUGAGUAGACCGACAUCUUUCAUGCAUUCAGUAAUACGGCGUUUAUAACCCCCAAAUGCAAUGUGUAAGUUACAGCCAGCGGUCCGAGUUGUUACAAAAUACGUUUUUUUUGUUCCAGAUGAGUGUGUACAAUGUCGCCGCUUGCAUUCAGGAGUUUAGUUGAUGUGCUUGUCUGUUUUGAUGUCGUAAAGUGGCUGGUUCUCGGUGCUACAUCUUGAGCAGUGAUUAUCUUUGUGCCGAGUGGUUUCCCCCCGUGUCGGAUUUUAUAUUUAUACUGCAAGAUGGUGAAAUCCAGUUACAAUUGCGUGUAAAUUACGUUAACUUGCAGCGUAGGACCAGGCAGGGACGUUUUCUCAGUCGACGGGCUGCUUUUUCUGCAUAGAAAGUUGGCGGCAUAUUGAUUGUUUCCUAUGGGGGUCGUCGCGCUGGCCACUAAAGUUUCUAAAACGCAUACUGAAAUUUAAAGGAUGUUAUUCGGUGGGUUUAAGGCUUUUACGCUAAGCCAGUGGUUAUCGCGUGGGAAACGAGUCCUUUAAAGGCUGUCUCGUGGAUCAAACUCGUUUUUUUAAACGAUAAUAUGCGAAUGGCGCUUCCCUAAAACCUAACAUGCAUGUGUUGUUUUUGUUAAUGAAUGGCCGCCCUUUUAUCAACGUUGAAAAAAAUGAAUUUCUUGGGAGGCGGUCGUCGUGUCCGCCGAGUGUCUUUAUGUGUAGUCGGCUCAGGCCAGUCGAAGGGUUAUGCAAUGGCGAGCCUCCGUCAGCAAAGCGCCUGCUCCUGUUGCUGGGGGUUCUAGUAGAAUCUGCUACCAGAUCGACGGAGUCGCCGCUGAGCGUCUCGUAGUGACUCUUUUCAAAUUCGUGGCGGGAGCCGCUCGCUGCACGGCUCGGUUUCGCUCCGUAAACUGGCAAUCCCGUUUUAUUACCAAUGAAUGGAUGCGCUCGCGGGGAGGCGGAGUUCCACAGCGCAGACAAAUCACAGGAGGCGCGAGAGCGCGACCUCAGGCCGCGGCCUAAACUACACUUUGCUGUGUGUAGAAUGCAGACUUCCAUUGCUGUUGCUGUGUAGACAAAUGUACUUCCGCAUUGAUUCGUUCUGCUGAGUGCCGAGUAUAAUGUGUAAUGGGCGUGAUUGAGAAGUGAGUCUUGCUCUUCCGUGGUUACCAGUCCUAUUGUUCCGAGAUUUAGAACAUAUCUCAGCCAAUCACAGCGGCCGGUCUGAGCUCAAUCAUGUAUGAAGCUCGCCGUACACCCAUAGGCCAAUGUUCUGUCGGGAAACGCCCACUUUUGAGUUACAUAACUAAUACUUAAAUCCCAUGACCUUCUACCCCCCAUCAACUCACCAUAGGCACAUUAAAAUGCAGAAAAAUGCUGUAACUGGAUUUCUUUGAUUGUUUUGUCUCUAACAGGCAGGGGGAGAAACAGUGGUAAGUAAUAAUUAAAGAUACUUGAUAUAACAUCUGAUCUUUUUUCUAUUAUAAAUAAAAACGUUAGUCUGUGCACCCACCAGAGGUCAGUAAGACCCCAUCUGUGAGUGCAAUUGACGGAUGUGUUGAAAAUAAUCACCUGUGUGUUUACCCUGUGCAGGCCAAGAGGAGAUCUCUCAGGUUGAGUGAAAAACCUGCACCUUCAAAGGCAGAGGCCAAACCUAAGCCCAAGAAGGCACCUGCUAAGCCUAAAAAAGCCAAGGAGGUGGAGAAGGCAAAGCCCGAGGAGAAAGCACCAGAGGCCCCCGCUGAGAAUGGUGAAGCCAAAGCCGAGGAAGAGGCACCGGCCACAGAAGAAGCGGACGAAAAAGAUGAUGCGGCAGAAUAACAUCUCUCAAACCACGUCUUUGCCAGUGCUCCCUGUACCUCUUUUCUUGUACAAUUCAGGGGAAUAUUUUUAUCAACUAUUUUCUAAAUACAGGUUUUUUAGUAGUUUGAUUGUAGAGAACACUUUUUUUUAAUGAAAGAAAAAAAAGUCAAUUUGGAGACGGGAAUUUCGUCACAUCCCACAAUUUUGCAUCGCCACAAAAAAUCGCGGUUGUUGUUUCUGUCAGUGGAUUUCGUUUCAUUUUUAAAUGUGAAGAGGGCGGGGAGGGGUUGCAGGACAGGUUACUGUGUCGGCGCUUAAGCACAGCGUUCACAGCAGCUGGGGCAACAACCAGAGGAGCUUGUCCACGUGGAUUACAUUCCAUAUGCUUUAUAAGGGACAAUGUGUGUAAUCUGUGCGGGGUGGGAAUAGACAAAGUCACAGGGCAACUCAUUGUUUUAUUGUUCAUAAUGAAGAACUGUGUUUUAGAAUGUUUGUAAGCUUUGUUCCUAUAUGUUAUCUCUUGUACUCAUGCAGAUUUUCAAUGAAUCUGAUCAAUAAAGCUAAAAAUCCCUAGUACUCGAGCUCUCCUUAUCAAAACUGCAUCGCGUGUGUUGGUUGUGUCUCUGUUUCUGUGAUAGCAUCGCAAUAAAUUUGUAUAGCUGCUGUGAAAAAAAAGGUUUUCAAUCUUUCUAUAUGCAUUGUGUAAUGGUACAUAGUAAGGAUGGUAAAAAUGGAAUUUGUUUUCUUAGCCAGGAUAAUGAGGUGUGUAACCAUCAAAAACAAACUUGAGAUUGGCGUCUUUAAGGCCAACCGACAAACUGUACAUUUAUUUGAGAUGUCAAAUGCAUACCAGCAGUAGCAAUAUUAAUGUGGGUUUUAGAUAUCUGUAUCAAGUACACGUGUGCCGUUCAUUUUUAUUUGUUUAUAGAUGUACCUGUGUAAUGAUUGUUAUCAACAAACCAAUAAAACUCUGUUGGUAGUUGUUUCAUUCUGAGGCGUCGGUUUAUGAGCGAGGUUGCUGAAAGAUUGCUGUAACUGUUUCUAAAAGUUAAUGAAAGGGAGAAUACAAUAAAUAUUGAUAUUUAUAACAUAGAAAUGUGCUUGCCGCUUCCGCAUUGAUAGUGAUUUGUUAAAUCACCAAGCAAGCACCUACACUAUAACAAAUGUUUUCUACAUGUAAAAUAAAACUUGAUUCAUUAUCUG